AAAGCGAGCUGAUUUACGGGCAUAAGGCGCCAGGUACACUUCAAGCCCACAGAGUACCAAGAAUUGUUUUCCAAGUCUUGAAGCAAGCACACUUACGAUGUUGUCAGGGUCUCCAGGUGUAGCCAAAUGGCUACACAAGAAGGGUGUACCAUCCACCUCUUCCAGGGAGCUUUCCCUCUGUCAUUGUGAAGAUUCUGCGGAGAUGGCCGAUGAGCUCUGACGACUGUGCCUGGCCGGUUACUAUGUGGUUUAGGGUCACUGUGCUGAGAAGACUGGCGUUUCCUAGGUCCUGGUAAGGGUCUAAACAACACAAGGUUAUUAAAGUCAUAACUCCUG
ensembl:processed_transcript Gm20470 predicted gene 20470